rnacentral:antisense_RNA from 1 species
CUUCACCGAGCCGAGCAGGAGUGGCUUGUCCUCGUCGCGGUUGCGCCCGUAGGUGGCCAGCAGCGCGUGCGCCUC